rnacentral:rRNA from 1 species
UGAUUCAGCGGCGGACGGGUGAGUAAUGCCUAGGAAUCUGCCUAUUAGUGGGGGACAACGUUUCGAAAGGAACGCUAAUACCGCAUACGUCCUACGGGAGAAAGCAGGGGACCUUCGGGCCUUGCGCUAAUAGAUGAGCCUAGGUCGGAUUAGCUAGUUGGUGAGGUAAAGGCUCACCAAGGCGACGAUCCGUAACUGGUCUGAGAGGAUGAUCAGUCACACUGGAACUGAGACACGGUCCAGACUCCUACGGGAGGCAGCAGUGGGGAAUAUUGGACAAUGGGCGAAAGCCUGAUCCAGCCAUGCCGCGUGUGUGAAGAAGGUCUUCGGAUUGUAAAGCACUUUAAGUUGGGAGGAAGGGCAGUAAGUUAA